GAUGAACGCUGGCGGCGUGCCUAAUACAUGCAAGACGAGCGAACAGACGAGGAGCUUGCUCCUCUGACGUUAGCGGCGGACGGGUGAGUAACACGUGGAUAACCUACCUAUAAGACUGGGAUAACUUCGGGAAACCGGAGCUAAUACCGGAUAAUAUAUUGAACCGCAUGGUUCAAUAGUGAAAGACGGUUUUGCUGUCACUUAUAGAUGGAUCCGCGCCGCAUUAGCUAGUUGGUAAGGUAACGGCUUACCAAGGCGACGAUGCGUAGCCGACCUGAGAGGGUGAUCGGCCACACUGGAACUGAGACACGGUCCAGACUCCUACGGGAGGCAGCAGUAGGGAAUCUUCCGCAAUGGGCGAAAGCCUGACGGAGCAACGCUGCGUGAGUGAUGAAGGUCUUCGGAUCGUAAAACUCUGUUAUUAGGGAAGAACAAAUGUGUAAGUAACUAUGCACGUCUUGACGGUACCUAAUCAGAAAGCCACGGCUAACUACGUG
rnacentral:rRNA from 1 species